AACAAUUUCCAAAACAAACACCAGUUCUCGUCCGAUCACUGAAGUUAAGCAGCAUUGGGCACGGUUAGUACUUGGAUGGGUGACCGCUUGGGAACACCGUGUGAUGUUGUCU
rnacentral:rRNA from 1 species